CUACGGGAGGCAGCAGUGGGGAAUUUUGCGCAAUGGGCGAAAGCUGACGCAGCGACGCCGCGUGAGUGAUGAAGGCCUUCGGGUCGUAAAGCUCUUUCGGCUGGGACGAAAUACCCAUGGCUAAUAUCCAUGGAAUUGACGGUACCGGCAGAAGAAGCACCGGCUAACUCUGUGCCAGCAGCCGCGGUAAUACAGAGGGUGCAAGCGUUGUUCGGAAUUAUUGGGCGUAAAGCGCGUGUAGGCGGCCGGGCGUGUCAGGUGUGAAAUCCGUCGGCUCAACCGACGGAGUGCGCCUGAAACUACCUGGCUUGAAUGCCGGAGAGGAUGGCGGAAUUCCCGGUGUAGAGGUGAAAUUCGUAGAUAUCGGGAGGAACACCAGCGGCGAAGGCGGCCAUCUGGACGGACAUUGACGCUGAGACGCGAAAGCGUGGGGAGCAAACAGGAUUAAAUACCCUGGUAGUCCACGCUGUAAACGAUGAGAACUAGGUGUUGUGGGUGUUGACCCCCGCAGUGCCGAAGCUAACGCAUUAAGUUCUCCGCCUGGGGAGUACGGUCGCAAGACUAAAACUCAAAGGAAUUGACGG
rnacentral:rRNA from 1 species